rnacentral:rRNA from 1 species
AUCUGGUAAGGCUAAAUACUCCCUAGCGACCGAUAGUGAAGCAGUACCGUGAGGGAAAGGUGAAAAGCACCCCGGGAGGGGAGUGAAAUAGAACCUGAAACCGUGUGCUUACAAGAAGUCAGAGCCCGUUCAAUGGGUGAUGGCGUGCCUUUUGUAGAAUGAACCGGCGAGUUACGUUCCCAUGCAAGGUUAAGGCGAGAAGCCGUAGCCGCAGCGAAAGCGAGUCUGAAUAGGGCGAGUGAGUAUGUGGGCGUAGACCCGAAACCGUGUGAUCUACCCCUGUCCAGGGUGAAGGUGCGGUAACACGCACUGGAGGCCCGAACCCACGUACGUUGAAAAGUGCGGGGAUGAGGUGGGGGUAGCGGA